UCAAUUUUCGAAAAAAAUGAAGAAGGAGAAAGGAAAUAGGAUAAUUAAGUACUAUAUUAUUUUAAAAUUGAGGAAAGUCCUUCCUUUUCUUCAUCCUCAAACAGCCGACUUUUUCCCCAAAAGAAGAACAGUCAUUUCCUUCUUACAAGCUAAUUUCGUAGAGAAAUUUCAAGUGACAGCUCCAAUAUCUUGAAAGAAAAAGGUGAAUUUCUUCAAUUAUCUGUUUUCCUACAAUUCUAGCUUGAAGAAAAUUUAUUCUUUCAACUCUAGGGCUUUCGAAAAAUUUGGGGAUUUAAUGUUAGAGUUGAAGUAUGGUCUUAAUAUUGAGAUAUAUUAUGUUUUUGAUGUUCCUAAGCCGGAUUAUGGUGAUUAAUUGUGUUAAUUGUUACUUAAUUUUGAUUUUGCUCAAGUUAGUGUAAACCCUAUGUUUGAGUUUGAAGAGCUAUGAUAAGUUCUUGAAUAAUUGAGUUUGUAUAUGUGUUCUUGAGCUAUAAUUAUUUCAUAUAUGAGUAUAUUAUGAAUUUACACCACAUAGUUUGGAAAAUUGAUUUUGUUAGUUUAGUGAAAAUUAGGGUUUUGAGCUAAGAAGGUUCAUAUCCUAUUGUCUUAUGGUUAUAGGUAUAUUAUGAUGUGAUUUUAUUAAUUAUUGAGAUUAGAACAGCCCUACUACCCAAUUCUUUUAUAAAGCUCUAUUGUAUAAAGAGCAGGGAAGUGAUAAAGUUGCUAUUUUUAUGCAUAUGGAUGAGAUUAGUGGCUUAAUAAUUGAGUUUAAAUUGAGAUCAUCGAGAUUUUUUAAGAGAUUGAGGAUAAUUAGUUUAUUAAACUAAAUAGUAUUUUAUUGAGAAUUGACAAACAUCUUGAGCUUAUUCUUUGUUUUCUUAUUGAUUAAGAGGAGUGAGGGUGUUAUUGUAUUGAUGAUAUGUGUGAGGAAAUGUUAGGAUAUAAGUGAAUAGCAAAUAUGAGUUAUUGUUGUAAUAUUAUAUAUAUAUAUAUAUAUUUCCUUACUUAUUUUUCUUAUAAAAAAAUCUUUAUCUAUUAAAGGUUCGGCUAGGAACGAGCCUGACACUAGAGUACGAAGUAAGAGAAACAUAUCAGGUGGGCUUACUAACUCAAGAAACAAAGAUGAUACUUUAUUAUAUAAAGUUUAAGUGUAUGCAUUUAUUUUAAAUUGUUGACUUGCCAAUAUUUAAUUUGUAUGAUACCAUCUACAUAGAAGAACGAAUUCGGGCCUGAGCGAGUCAGGAUUUGUGUACACAGUGACGGUUAACCUUGAGUUACUUGUCGUUACGUUUGGGAAGGAGGCCUACUUCUAACGUGUUUAUGAGAUUAUAGAUAUGGUACAUACUUUAUGAGAACUUAGUUGCGCAGACACUUUCAAUUACAUGUAAAAAAGUUUAGCAAACAAGGUUGCUUAGAAAAUCCUUGUGUAUUGCUUAAAGUGGCAAGUUCAAUAUAUAGCAUUAUCAUGCAGAGUUUCAAAUGUUUUCGGCACAUGUUCACUGAGUGCUUUUGGUACUCAGCCCUUCAUAUCUUUCUAAAUGUGCAGGUUAAGUUGGGAUGAAGAUGGAAGUGUGCUGAGCUGGAGCUUUUUCGUUUAUGUAAAUAAUAAUAGGCUCAGGAUGUUGUGUCUUCAUACAUAAUGUCCAAUGAUGUACUCCGCUGCAACACUUUAAUUCUCUUAUCACUUUUGACGUGUUGUAGAAUGUUUUAAAACCUUAACUUGUAUAUGAGCUUGACAAAUCUUGGUUAUGAUGUUUAUUUGGUUUAAACUUCUUUUGUUAAAGUUUGAUGGUGACGAACCUCUUGAAAUUCAUUGAUUAUAUAUGUAUGUGAGUUGUUAAUUAUUUAUUUGUCUUAGUUUCCUUUCAAUUACUUUCCAUCUCUCGUUUCUCCACCCUAGUCGUACGAUACCUGGUCUAGCUAUCUUUCUCUUAGGCCCGGCUGCGACACUAGUGAAGAUGCCGGAGUUGGAGUAGUUCAUCCAGACUGACGGUAUUAACUGUGGUCCAUAUGCCC
rnacentral:lncRNA from 1 species